GAUGAACGCUGGCGGCGUGCCUAAUACAUGCAAGUCGAGCGAACAGACGAGGAGCUUGCUCCUCUGACGUUAGCGGCGGACGGGUGAGUAACACGUGGAUAACCUACCUAUAAGGCUGGGAUAACUUCGGGAAACCGGAGCUAAUACCGGAUAAUAUAUUGAACCGCAUGGUUCAAUAGUGAAAGACGGUUUUGCUGUCACUUAUAGAUGGAUCCGCGCCGCAUUAGCUAGUUGGUAAGGUAACGGCUUACCAAGGCAACGAUGCGUAGCCGACCUGAGAGGGUGAUCGGCCACACUGGAACUGAGACACGGUCCAGACUCCUACGGGAGGCAGCAGUAGGGAAUCUUCCGCAAUGGGCGAAAGCCUGACGGAGCAACGCCGCGUGAGUGAUGAAGGUCUUCGGAUCGUAAAACUCUGUUAUUAGGGAAGAACAAAUGUGUAAGUAACUAUGCACGUCUUGACGGUACCUAAUCAGAAAGCCACGGCGAACUACGU
rnacentral:rRNA from 1 species